rnacentral:rRNA from 1 species
GACGAACGCUGGCGGCGUGCUUAACACAUGCAAGUCGAACGGUGAAAGAAGAGCUUGCUCUUCUGGAUCAGUGGCGAACGGGUGAGUAACACGUGAGUAACCUGCCCCAGACUCUGGAAUAAGCGCUGGAAACGGCGUCUAAUACCGGAUACGAGACAGAGCUGCAUGGCUACUGUCUGGAAAGUUUUUCGGUCUGGGAUGGACUCGCGGCCUAUCAGCUUGUUGGUGAGGUAACGGCUCACCAAGGCAACGACGGGUAGCCGGCCUGAGAGGGCGAGCGGCGACAAUGGAACUGAGACACGGGCCAGACGCCUACGGGAGGCAGCAGUAGGGAAUCUUGCGCAAUGGGCGAAAGCGGGACGGAGCAACGCCGGGUGAGGGAUGAAGGUCUUCGGAUAGUAAAACUCUGUUAUUAGGGAAGAACAAAUGUGUAAGGAACUAUGCACGUCUUGACGGUACCUAAUCAGAAAGCCACGGCUAACUACGUG